CUUUCAUAAGAAAUGGAAGCCCAAAGUCAGAAAUCAGUAUCACUGGACUGAAGUCAAAGUAUCAGCAGGGCUGCGGUCCUAACGGAGGCUCAAGGGGAGCAGCCGUUCCUUGCCUCUUCUCAGCCUCUGGAGGCUGCAGGGCUUCCUUGGCUUGUGGCUGCAUCACUGCUCUCUACCUCUGAGGUCAGAGCAGCUUCAGUCAAUUUAGAAAGUUUAUUUUGCCAAGGCUAAGUAUGUCGCCAUGACACAGCCUCAGGAGGUCCCAACAACAUGGGCCUGAGGUGGUUGGGGUACAGCUUGGUUUUAUACAUUCUAGGGAGAUGUGAUUCGUCGAUCAACACAUGUACGAUGUACGGUGGCGUGGUCAGAAAGGCAGGACAACUUGAAGUGGGGGCUUCCAGGUCACAGUAGAUUUAAGGAUUUUCUGAUUGUCAAUUGGUUGAAAGAGUUAUUAUCAAUAGAAAGUAAUGUCUAAGUUAUGAUAAGGGGUUGUGGAGACCAAAGUUUGAUCAGCAGAUGAAGCCUCCAGGUAGCAGGCUUCAGAGGGAAUAGAUUGUAAACGUUUCUUAUCAGACUUAAAGAUCCUAUUCAAUCAGUGAUUCCAAAAGGGAGGAGGGUAACGAGGCACGUCCAGCUCCCCCUUCCCACCAUAGCCUGAAUGAGUUUUCAGGUUGACUUUACAAUGCCCUUGGCUGAAUGGAGAGGUCCAUUCAGAUGGUUGUAGGGCUUAGAAUUUUAUUUUUGGUUUACAAGUGGAAGCUUCCUGAGUCCUUACCAGAAGCAGAUGCCAGUGCCAUGCUUCCUGUACAGCCUGCAGAACCAUGAGCCAAAUAAACCUCUUUGCUUUGUAAAUUACCCAGCAUCAGUAUUCC
rnacentral:lncRNA from 1 species